rnacentral:rRNA from 1 species
AUACGGAGGGUCCAAGCGUUAUCCGGAAUCAUUGGGUUUAAAGGGUCCGCAGGCGGUCAAUUAAGUCAGAGGUGAAAGCCCAUCGCUCAACGAUGGAACUGCCUUUGAUACUGGUUGACUUGAGUUAUACGGAAGUAGAUAGAAUAAGUAGUGUAGCGGUGAAAUGCAUAGAUAUUACUUAGAAUACCGAUUGCGAAGGCAGUCUACUACGUAUAUACUGACGUUGAGGGACGAAAGCGUGGGGAGCGAACAGGAUUAGAAACCCCAGUAGUCC